UACAAGAAUAUAUUGACAAAGAUUGGCCUCUUAAUACCGUUAUGACAAAUAGAUAUC
rnacentral:sRNA from 1 species